UACAGAGGUCUCAAGCGUUGUUCGGAUUCAUUGGGCGUAAAGGGUGUGUAGGUGGCGCGCUAAGUCGGGUGUGAAAUUUCGGAGCUUAACUCCGAAACUGCAUUCGAUACUGGCGUGCUUGAGGACUGGAGAGGAGACUGGAAUUUACGGUGUAGCAGUGAAAUGCGUAGAUAUCGUAAGGAAGACCAGUGGCGAAGGCGAGUCUCUGGACAGUUCCUGACACUGAGACACGAAGGCCAGGGGAGCAAACGGG
rnacentral:rRNA from 1 species